UGGAAAAACAACACUAAGCCAUUCGUUAACCAAAUUUAAUUGGAUUACCAAUUUCCAACCAGAGUAGAGCCCUUCCUAGGGCUUUGGAAAAGACUAGAGCCAUCAUUAUUUAUUGAGCAAAGGACUUCGUGAGGGUCUUCAGACAUGACUCAAGAGGAAGGAAGCAUCCAAAAGGGCUGCUCUUUAGUAAUGUAUCAUCUAGUGUAGGGCUUGUAAAGAUGAUAGAACAGUAAGAUGAUAGUAUAAACAAAUUGCUCUAAGAUUUCAAAGGAAGGAGAAAUCAUACCUACUUGGGAAAAUGUGCAAAGGUUCUGUGAGCUGUGAGUUAUCAGCAAUGGCCCAUGAAGGAUGACUAGGAGGUGGUCAACAGCCAGAGUUAGGAAGAAAUGUUUCCAGGCAGAAGGACUAGCAUUACCAGAGGCACAGGGUGGGGCCAGAGCUGACAACCUAAACGUGGUCAGGUUUCACAUGAGCCUGAGACUCUGGGAGUCAAAACAGGAGAAGAAACCAGAUCCUGCCCGUCACGUGGGAGGCUGCAUAGGCCUGGGCCAAGUCAGCUGUGUUAGCUGGGCGACGUUCAGAGAGAAAAAUGAAGUCAUAUCUCCCGUCCAGACGAAGGGAGACAUGGACCUCUCUGUUUUGCCAAAUAACAACCAUCCUGACAAAUUCCUGCAGCUCGAUGUGAAGUCUUUCAUGAGGAGCUCAGCAAUUCUUCAGGGCAGCCUGGUGAGGUUUCCAGGGGGGAGUUACCUACCCACCCAACGCUGGCAAAACCUUGUGUAUUCACAGAGAGAAAAGACCAUCACUGCUCAGCAAAUGAGGCGAUCCAAUGCAGAGGGUGCUGUUGCUGUGGAUCAUCCUCCACCAUCCUUGUCAUCAGUUCUGAAGAAUAACCCACUCUAUGGUGACAUAGGUUUGGAGGAAGCUAUGGAAGAAAGAAAAAAGAAUCCCUCAUGGACCGCUGAGGAAUAUGACAGGCAUUCCCUGCAUACAAACCUUUCUGGGCAUCUGAAGGAAAACCCUAAUGACCUACGGUUUUGGUUGGGAGACAUAUACACACCCGGUUUUGACACCUUAUUGAAAAAGGAAGAGGAACAAGAAAAGCAUUCAAAAUAUUGUCGUACUGCUGGAAAAAUCCAGAAGUAAACUGGGCCCUCUCUUCUCGGGAAGUGUGCAGGACUUGCUCGUGUGCUAUCCCGAGUCGUGGCUAUGUCGUUAUGUGUCCUUUGCCUCAUCGUCCUCUCUGCUUCAGAGAUAUGGGGCCUAUGGCGCUCUUCUUGUUUCUCAAUGCCUUAGACCUCCCGAAAAGACACAGGUGUUGCAGAGCACAGGAUCUGAUUUCUUCGACCUUGUCUUGGAUCAUCCCUAAAGUAGACGUCAGUCCCAGGGAGCCCCAGCUCCUCUAGAGCCUGCUUCCCUUAGGCACUGACAUCAAACCCACUUGGAGGAGAACAUAACCUCCUGCAAACCUGAGGUAGACCUCAGUAUCCAAGGCGUUCCUAGAAUGGAUCCCUCAAACGCACUCUCUCCAAUCCGGCCAGAUAAGGAAGGCAGCAGGGCACAGGGUGGCAACAUCACCUUUUACAUUUUACACUGACCACACACCCUGGAGUUGUUAACCAUGGGGGUGCCUCGAGGAGCAAGGGGGCGCAAGGCAGAAACAAAUGAUGGCUUUUCUUUCCCUGUAUCUUGGAGAUAAGUUCUGGCCAGCAGAUGGCAGGUGUGCUCUAGAAUGGGAAAAUGCUAUCCCAAACAAUUGGAGGACUGUGGUUCUUUGGUGUCAAAACAUGGAAAUCCUGACAAAUGAGCGGAGAACUUGCAAAGAAGAGAAGUGAUUAAUUGUGCUGAUGAAGGCCCGGCAUGGGGAGCAGGGCCCUGCCGAGGCCGUCGAGUGUGCCUCAGUGCAAGGAGCUGACAGUGAUUGAGGUGCCACACUGAGAAGUCUUCAGACCAGGCAGUUCAAGCUGUGCGCACAGAACUCAUUAACCAAGUCCUCCAUGCGGUCUCUACUCUGAUGGUGGCUCUGCUUGUUAAGAAAUGCAGAAUCCCAGGACAGCUAAAUCAGAAUCUUCAUGUUUAAUAAGCUCCCUGGGUGAUUCUUUCUCUAAAGGUUAAGAAAAGAUCUUGAAGCGUGUGGGGCUCCUUAGCAGAUUCUUUCAAAGCUGUGGUUCGGGGAUGCAGGGGCCCCCUAAUUAUCCAGGGUGGUUUUGUGAAUCCCAAAACACUCGUUCCAGGCUCCCAUGAGUGCACGGUCCGCUUAGUAGCAUUUCCCCUCUGGGACAGAUAUGGAGAUACAAGUCAUCUCUCUGUUCUGGCUCUAUUCCCAGCCUGUUUACCGUCCUCGGGAAUACAAAAUUCAUUGACAUAUUUAAAAACUGAUCUCAAUUCAAUACAUAGUUGAUAUUUAAAAUGUUGUGCUGAAACUGCUCCUCCAUUUUAAAUGGAAUCUUCAAAAUGUGUUCUGUGCUGCUGGAAGAAAUACUGAGAAAGCCUGAGCCAUCACGGGUAAUGCAAUAGUGAUUUUUGGUGUGUCAGCAGGAUUUUUGUGUGAGUCAGAGGUUAGGGCUCUUGCCACAUACUGUCUUUAAAGCUGGUUUCUGGGAUACAGAGUGAAUCCAUCUGAUCCCAGAUUUGUGUCACUGGUUUAAAUUCUACAGCCAAGGGCUUGAGUGAGGAGCAGAGGAGCUAUUGAUCUGCCUCCAGAAAAAUAGUAUUGGGGGAAAUUCAGUUUAAUGAACCAAUUAUCAGGAUUACUAAUUCGGUCUCAAUCAAAUUCAAAUUUUGACUCUGAGUUUCUGACAUCCUCUUCUGGAGGGAAUAUGAGUCUGGGAAGGAGAAGUUCACUCAGAUAAUCAUCCACAAACCCAUGGUGGGGAGAGUGGCAUUCCUUUUCUUUUGAUUAUUCUAUGGCCUCAGUGGUCUGUAGUGCUGACUCCUGAAGGUGACACAGUGGUAGCCCCUACAGUGUGCUGGGGUUGCCAGCCUUCAGCUCCCUUCUAAAGGUCCCCCUUGCAUCACUGUAAAGCAAAUCUCCUCACACUGUAACUUUCUUAGGGCGAGGUGGCCUCUCAGGAGGAUCGUCAGCUCACUCACCAAGCUAAUUUUCACGGUUUACCCUGGAGCCAUAGUAAGGGUAUGGACCCCUUCGAUGCUGUUCCCAGGUGAUAGGGAAUGCUAGAUACAACUGGGCUCUUGUCCAAAUAUUUAUUUAUUCUCUCUACUCUUUCCCCAGAACUCAUUGUAUGGGGUACAUCUCUGAGGUUUCUGCUCGCAGACUACAUCCAAGAAAUAACAAAUUUGUUUCAUCUCUCAGAAACCCCAUAUUUUUCAAGGUACCCACUUCCAUUAUGUUCCUUUCCCUACUUCACCCACAGUUGGGAAGAAGUGAGAAUCUCCAUUCCUCAUUCCAUCUAAAACAACAUUCCCUAGCCAGCUGUGUCCUCCUAGAGCUUGAACAUUUUAUCAUUCAAAGGCAGGAAGAAAAUCAAUUUGAUCUGGUCAACCCCUUUUGAGUCUGUCCUGUUUUGUGGUAAGAGCAGCAUCUUUGAAUGAUAUGAUUUAGACUGUGGGUCCUUGCCCCACCGUGGAAGUCUCCUUCACAUCUGUCAGCACAGUUUGAGAUAGACAUCAGUUGAGAAGGUGGCAGCAGGUGUGCUAGGGAAAGAGAAAGGAGUUAGUAUCAGCAUUUGCUUUGUCUUCCCAUGUCAUCUCGCCACGUUUGUGCCUAUGAAGGGUGCCUCAUGACAUCAUCCUAACCACCUUUAUCUAUUUCAAUGCAGUUCAUCUCAGAACCUAUCCACAAGGAGAUGAUAAAUGUUAUCACCUUCACCCAGAGAGAAAGACAUUUCUGGGAUCUCACUAGAGGGAUAGGAACCUUUGUGGGAAACACUAAAAUUUACUUGUCAAGAGUCAAAAAUUAUUGCCAUGGAGAAAAGAUAAGCUGUGGCAAGGGUUGAGUGGUCUGAGUGUGUGACUACAAAGAGGCAGUGUGAAGGAGUUUUAUGGGGGGAGGUGGAACCUCUCUGUAUUCUAAUUCUGGUGGCAAAUGCACAGACCUAAAAACAUAUAUUAAAACUUUAAAAACUGUACACCAGAAAUGUCGGUUUUAUUGUAUUCUUUCUAUCUAUCUAUCUAUCUAUCUAUCUAUCUAUCUAUCUAUCCUUGAAUGGCAAAUGAAAACUUAUUCUCAGAAAGUUCUACAUCAAAUACCCUCCUAAGGUAGGCUUAAGUGAGCUGCCUUUUAAAAAAGGUGAAAGUUGUGAUUAUUUUAGAGUUCUGUGUUGUGUUUUUUUCCUGAAAUAGCCUGGCUCUACCACCUGCAAAUGAAUUCGUUAAGCAAAUAUUCCAGUGCAUUUUCAUAAGUUCUGUAAAAUAUUAACAAAAACAGUAUCACAAUGUCGAACUUAUAGAUUCAUUAAUCUUUUCAUUAUUGUACACAUUUAAUUU